CACCUCCCGACACUUAGUAAAAAAAGAAAUCUAUCUCUUCAGCCGCCGCACGAGGCGAGCAACUCAGAGCAACGGCGAUGGCGGAGGCGGGAGGCGAUGGGUCACUCCGGAUCCGCCAUCACCGAAGCAGAGCAGCGCCGCGCCGCGCCGCCGGGAUCUGCCGCCUCCAGAAGAGCAGCAUGAAGUAGGCCGACGGUUCCCGAGCAGGAGACGCGCCGCCGCGAGACAAGACCGCGCAAGCGGCAACCUCACCACACUUAUGGUGGCGAGGCUAGUUGUUUUUUGUUCCUGUCAUUCUAGAUCGUGGAUGGGCUGCAUACAUGUGGGAUAGGCUGAAAAAGGAGAUUCAUGUUCUGGACUCAUUGUGCGCUCAAGUUGCUGGAGGAGUGCAGCGACAUAUCAUCCACCAGGAGGCUGUCUCAUAGAUUCACUCGGCAUUAUUCAGCUGCCUACAGUGAGUUCUUUGCGAAAUGGCAUUGUCCAGCUGGCACAUGGAAGGGCAGGUUCCCCAAGAUAAUGUUAAGCCCGAGCUAGAUGAUGGCCCAACUACACUCAUAUUCAGAUAAACAUCAAGAACAGGAAGGAAGUUGAGGAACUUUGCUUAGGGUUUGUAGCAGUCAAAGAGGAACACGUUGAGCCAGCCGGGUCACGGCGGCCGGGGUUUAACCCUAUUACAAUUCUAGAUGCCUCUACCGAUCUUCAAAUCCUGCUUUAUAGCCAUUACAAAACAGAAAGUAAACUGAAAGGUAAAAAGAGAGCAGGUGAAGUUGUUGGACGAUCAACAAUGACCCUUGACGCGACGGCUGCCGUACGAUGGAAGAUCAACGUCUCUCAGCAGCUGCCUCUGGUGCGAAGCAGUAAGUGGAGGCCAGCGUCGUUGGAUGUGAUUCGGAGGGUGGAGUUUGAAUCAACAGCUGAAGCGAUAACCUGCAAUUAACUGAAGAUGGGCUGGUGUCGAUGUUCAGAUAAGGGGCCUGACAGAUAACUCGCGAUGUUUUCACUAGGGACGAUGGGGAUAAGAUGAGGUGGCCAUUGAUGAAAGGUUCAUAGUCUGUUUGACUUUCUUACUUCUUUCAUAAAUUUAUCGGAUGAGAAUUUUCGCAGCCAGAGUUUGCAUGUUGUUUUAGCUCUGAAAUCUGCAGAAAAACUUGGCCACUUUUCGGCAAAUAGUUGUUUUUGAGGUAUUUCGUUUGUGUGACGAGCACGAAAAUUGUGGCUGACAAUGUGUUACGGGCUGCUCUAGAAGACCAUGAGGAAUGAGUGUUAUCGCCAAUGCUUAUGUAGUGUGCAAAUUGUUCAUCACCUUGUGAGGGUUUGGAUGGUAUGUUUAGUGAUUUAAACGCUCUUAUAUUUCUUUAUGGAGGGAGCACUUUUUAUUAGGAUGGAACUAGCAAGUACGUGGAUCUUCCAAAUGACUUGUUAGCUAUAUUGUGUAUGAAGAGCAAUGCACUCGAAUGCUUGUACGUGGAUCGGCGAACCUCUUUUUUUUUUUUCUGAACAUUUGUUUAUGAAAAUCUUUUGAUCGGUACAAGGUAUUGAUUCAGCCAAUUAUGUAUAUGUCAGCACCAAGCGAAGAUCCUCCAACACCACUGGCCGUCGACGCGAUCUCGGAAACCCCCGGCGCGCAUGCUCAGCGCCGCCUGCGCGUGCCCAUCUUGAUUUAUUGGAAUGACUUGCUGCUGCCCUGGAUUGAUUUGCACGAGCGGAGGUGCCGCCGGACCAUGCGAACCAAGGUGCUCCGCAGGCUUCCUGCCACCAGUAGAAAUCGCGUCCUACCCCCUGGCUGCCAUGGAUUUCACAGGAACGCUGAGAUAUCCGCGCAAAAAGAAAUCAACUACUAUUCAUUCGGAAGUGCUGUGCACACGAUCCGUGCA